rnacentral:lncRNA from 1 species
GUUUGAGAGCGGAAACUAAUUGAUGGGACGUACGAAUACAUAUUUAAGGACGGACAAGGGUAACACUUUUAUGCCUCCUUCCGCUGCAGCGGGUGAUAUAAAAAAAUCAGAUGUUUUUUAUACUGAAAUUGUACAAACCCGACCAAUAGCCGACUAUCCCUACGACCCCUAUACGAUCAAGUCGAUCUGGUCUGGCCGAGAUCUUGUUGAGAUCGAGUAUAGUUGAUUUGGUCUAGCUAGUGGUGUAAAGAUCGUGUAGAGAUCGUGAAUUCGUCGGAAUCAUCGAAUAUGUAUUCAAUAAGUAGUCUGGUUUGAGUCGUGAUAGAGUCGUUAAGGAGUCGUGAAUGAUCGGGUUAAGGUUGAGUACAGUCGGAUAUAGAAGUCGGGUAGGAGUCGUAAAAAGGCCCGAUCAAGAAUUUGGUCACGCUUGGUCGUGGAAAUUUGGACUAUCGGAAUCAUCGAGUUGAUCUGAUCGGCAGUGUGAACCUAGCUUAACAUAAAAUGUGUUUACGUUAUAAUAUUUUAUCGUGUUUCCUGUGUGUAUGUACCCAAAGUUGUUGGUUUGUUUGUAAGAUUCAGGUGUGUGAUUACCUUAGUAUAUAUACAUAGUGUAAUCUGCUAGAAUGGUGGAGUCUAGUGGGUUAGUGUAGUGGAAUACCUGUGUGUAUUCAAUUAAGGUAGUGUGUUUCCGGUCAUUUUUCAAACUAAAAAAUGUCUUCGUUUUUUACGCUCUCUUCAAGCUCCGCCACAGCUAUUAACCUUGUC